UGGCAAGGCCACCUUGUCUGGCAGGUGGCCCUGUCCUUACAGAGCUUCCCAGCUGCAUCCACCUUUGUAUUUCCUGAGCUGCGGAGUGCUGUGCAAGUCAGCUUUGUGCCUGUCCAUGGUCGUUUACUCCAAAGAGCUGUGUUAAGCGAGCCAUGUAGAAAUAAGCCAGGUUCUUUCAGGUCUACAUUCUGUAGCGUUUUGAAUAUCUGAUUUCCUUAUCGUAGUGGUGCAAAGUUCAGUGGUGAGUGACUUGACAGAGUCUAUCUCCUCGUGACAUCACUAACACACGUGAAUAAAAUGAGUACUGGAACAGAUCUGCUUGUCCAAUUCUGUAGUUUUCAAACUACCUGUCUCCUCCGACCGUAAUGGCGUGCCCCUCAGAGACCUGCACUAGGGGAUGCUCUCGCUGAGCCUUGCUCUCCUGGGUGCCUUGUCCGUGCCUGAUUCCUUUAUAUGCGAGUGAGUGAAAAGCCAGUCUGCCACGUGGGAAACACGUGAAUCUGUCAAACCGGUCUUAGCUAUGUUUUUCUAGUCCAGGAUACUUCUUUAUGAACAACUGGCUGUUUUAUGCAUUCCGCCGCUCGUUUUGGCUAGAGUUCUAAUCUCUCAUCUAACUGGCCUUUUAUUUCUUACAACAGAUAUUUCUUACAACAUGCCGUGAACCUUCUGAACUGACAGAUUAACCAUCUUCUCUUAACUUUAGGCUUUGCCUGGCCUACGGGGGCUCCGACGUGUCCAGGUGUUUUUACUGGCUCAUGCAGAGAGCAGGAUUCCCUUACAGAGAGUGCCAGUUAGCAAAUAAAAUGGACUGCCUCCUCUUGCAGCACCUUAAGGAGACCUUUUGUCAUUUAGAUCAGGACAUCUCCGGGCUUCAGGACCAUGAGUUUCAGAUUCGGCACCCGGACUCACCUGCCCUGCUUUACCAGUUUCGAUUGGGAGAUGAAAAGCUCCAGGCUCCAAUGGCGCUGUUUUACCCAGCAACCUUUGGAAUCGUCGGACAGAAAAU
rnacentral:lncRNA from 1 species